CAGGGUCUCGCGACUGCCCAAACCAAACCGUGAAUUACUCCAUUUCACUUCUGCCUCGGCGGGCCGCUCGCUGGGGGAGCCUCGGGCCGCCGCCUCGUUGUGGUGGUGGCCCGCCGAAGCAACCAAAUUCAAAAUCUUUGAGAAAUCUUCUGAGAAACAACUUUCCGAAUGGAAAAAAAUGAUCA
rnacentral:misc_RNA from 1 species